CAGCAGCUGAAACAGCUUUGCGGCCUUGCUGUAAUGAAGAUCUGCCAGCACUCGGUGUUGUUUCCUAAGGUGUUCAUCACCAACCUAGAACCAAACCAAAACAAGCAACAAAUCCUUCACGAGAAAGAAAGAAAACAACUGUGUAAGCAGACAUCAGUGUAAACCUUAGUACUGUCUCUUGAUAAGAGGAGGAUGGCAGUGACAGGAGUGUGGUGGCGAGCCAGUCACCUGCAGUCAACCACGGCUCAUUGCUCUCACCAUGCCUGUUACAUGAAGAGGGAGGGACUCCAGGGCUAUGCACAGAGAGAAGGCCCUGUGUGGACACAGCGACAAGGCGGGUUAUCUGCAAGCCAAGGUAGAAGCAUGAGAGGAAUCCAACGCUGCUGCCACCUUGAUCUUGAACUUCCAGUCUCCAGAUCUAUGACACAAUAAAUUUCUCGUUAUGUCACCUAGUCUAUGAUAUUUCAUUAUAGCAGCCCCAGCUCACUAACAUAGCUUGAUGAAGUCUCUCACCAUCCUGCUCUGCCUCACCCAGGAUGGGAACCAUCCCUUUGUCCAGCACAUUCAUGCUGUAUGCAC